ACUGGUGACUAUGAUGACUGAACUUUUUUCCCCAGCAGAGCGAUAGUGUUGACUGCUGUUUUAAAUAAGCCAAACUGUCUGAGUCCCCAGU